UUCGGUGGCGAUGGCAAAGAGGAAACACCCGUUCCCAUCUCGAACACGGAAGUUAAGCUCUUUAGCGCCGAUGGUACUGCUUGGGCGACUAAGCGGGAGAGUAGGACGCCGCCGAAA
rnacentral:rRNA from 1 species